GUGGGAAGGGCAUGGGAGGAUGGGAAGGUGGGAUCUGCAUGCCUGGGAUCUUCCGCUGGCCCGGGGUGCUCCCAGCCAGCCGAGUGAUUGGCGAGCCCACGAGUCUGAUGGACGUGUUCCCCACCGUGGUCCAGCUGGUGGGCGGCGAGGUGCCCCAGGACAGGUGAUUGACAGCCAGGACCUUCUGCCCUUGCUUCUGGUGACAGCCCAGCAUUCAGACCACGAUUCCUGAUGCAUUACUGUGAGAAGUUUCUGCACUCAGCCAGGCGGCAUCAAUGGGACAGAGGAACAAUGUGGAACUCCACUUUGUGACGCCUGUGUUCCAGCCAGAGGGAGCCGGUGCCUGCUAUGGAAGAAAGGUCUGCCUGUGCUUUGGGGAAAAAGUAGUCCACCACGAUCUACCUUUGCUCUUUGACCUCUCAAGAGACCCUUCUGAGACCCACAUCCUCACACCAGCCUCAGAGCCCGUGUUCUAUCAGGUGAUGGAACGAGUCCAGCAGGUGAUGCGGGAACACCAGCGGACACUCAGCCCAGUUCCUCUGCAGCUGGACAGGCUGGGCAAUAUCUGGAGACCGUGGCUGCAGCCCUGCUGUGGCCCAUUCCCCCUCUGCUAGUGCCUUAGGGAAGAUGACCCA
rnacentral:lncRNA from 1 species